rnacentral:rRNA from 1 species
CCCUUAGAUGUUCUGGGCUGCACGCGCGCUACACUGAAGCUAUCAACACGUUUUCCCUCCCUGAGAAGGGCGGGUAACCUUUUGAAUCAGCUUCGUGGUAGGGAUCGGGGCUUGCAAUUGUUCCCCAUGAACCAGGAAUUCCUAGUAGACGCGAGUCAUAAGCUCGCAUCGAUUAAGUCCCUGCCCUUUGUACACACCGCCCGUCGCUACUACCGAUUGAACGCUUUAGUGAGGCAUUUGGACCGACGCAUCUCAGUUUAACCGCUGGUUUGUGUUGGAAAGACUUCCAAACUUGAGCGUUUAGAGGAAGUAAAAGUCGUAACA